ACAGAUGGGAGCUUGCUCCCUGAUGUUAGCGGCGGACGGGUGAGUAACACGUGGGUAACCUGCCUGUAAGACUGGGAUAACUCCGGGAAACCGGGGCUAAUACCGGAUGGUUGUUUGAACCGCAUGGUUCAAACAUAAAAGGUGGCUUCGGCUACCACUUACAGAUGGACCCGCGGCGCAUUAGCUAGUUGGUGAGGUAACGGCUCACCAAGGCAACGAUGCGUAGCCGACCUGAGAGGGUGAUCGGCCACACUGGGACUGAGACACGGCCCAGACUCCUACGGGAGGCAGCAGUAGGGAAUCUUCCGCAAUGGACGAAAGUCUGACGGAGCAACGCCGCGUGAGUGAUGAAGGUUUUCGGAUCGUAAAGCUCUGUUGUUAGGGAAGAACAAGUACCGUUCGAAUAGGGCGGUACCUUGACGGUACCUAACCAGAAAGCCACGGCUAACUACGUGCCAGCAGCCGCGGUAAUACGUAGGUGGCAAGCGUUGUCCGGAAUUAUUGGGCGUAAAGGGCUCGCAGGCGGUUUCUUAAGUCUGAUGUGAAAGCCCCCGGCUCAACCGGGGAGGGUCAUUGGAAACUGGGGAACUUGAGUGCAGAAGAGGAGAGUGGAAUUCCACGUGUAGCGGUGAAAUGCGUAGAGAUGUGGAGGAACACCAGUGGCGAAGGCGACUCUCUGGUCUGUAACUGACGCUGAGGAGCGAAAGCGUGGGGAGCGAACAGGAUUAGAUACCCUGGUAGUCCACGCCGUAAACGAUGAGUGCUAAGUGUUAGG
rnacentral:rRNA from 1 species